CCUACGGGAGGCAGCAGUAGGGAAUCUUUCACAAUGGGCGAAAGCCUGAUGGAGCAACGCCGCGUGCAGGUGCAGGCCUUCGGGUUGUAAACUGCUUUUAUAAGCGAGAGAUAUGAUGGUAACUUAUUAAUAAGUAUCGUCUAACUACGUGCCAGCAGCCGAGGUCAUACGUAGGAUCCGAGCAUUCUCCGGAGUGACUGGGUGUAAACAGUUGCGUAGGUGGCAUAAUAAGUAGCUCGUGAAAUCUGGUGGAUCAACAAUUCAGACUAUUAGCUAAACUGUUAAGCUCGAGACCGUUAGGGGUAACUGGAAUUUCUGGUGUAGGAGUGAAAUCCGUAGAUAUUAGAAGGAACACCAAUAGCGUAGGCAGGUUGCUGGGACGGUUCUGACACUAAGGAACGAAAGCGUAGGGAGCAAACGGGAUUAGAUACCCUAGUAGUC
rnacentral:rRNA from 1 species